UACGAAGGGGGCGAGCGUUGUUCGGAAUUACUGGGCGUAAAGCGCGCGUAGGCGGAUCUGCAAGUCGGGGGUGAAAUCCCGAGGCUCAACCUCGGAACUGCCUUCGAUACUGCGGGUCUCGAGUCCGGGAGAGGUGAGUGGAAUUCCUAGUGUAGAGGUGAAAUUCGUAGAUAUUAGGAAGAACACCAGUGGCGAAGGCGGCUCACUGGCCCGGUACUGACGCUGAGGCGCGAAAGCGUGGGGAGCAAACAGG
rnacentral:rRNA from 1 species